GGGUUGUGAGGUUAAGCGACUAAGCGUACACGGUGGAUGCCCUGGCAGUCAGAGGCGAUGAAGGACGUGCUAAUCUGCGAUAAGCGCCGGUAAGGUGAUAUGAACCGUUAUAACCGGCGAUUUCCGAAUGGGGAAACCCAGUGUGACUCGUCACACUAUCAUUAACUGAAUCCAUAGGUUAAUGAGGCGAACCGGGGGAACUGAAACAUCUAAGUACCCCGAGGAAAAGAAAUCAACCGAGAUUCCCCCAGUAGCGGCGAGCGAACGGGGAUGAGCCCAGAGCCUGAAUCAGCAUGUGUGUUAGUGGAAGCGUCUGGAAAGGCGCGCGAUACAGGGUGACAGCCCCGUACACAAAAGCGCAUAUGCUGUGAGCUCGAUGAGUAGGGCGGGACACGUGGUAUCCUGUCUGAAUAUGGGGGGACCAUCCUCCAAGGCUAAAUACUCCUGACUGACCGAUAGUGAACCAGUACCGUGAGGGAAAGGCGAAAAGAACCCCGGCGAGGGGAGUGAAAAAGAACCUGAAACCGUGUACGUACAAGCAGUGGGAGCCCCACCACUAAGCCAGUGGUGAACUCCACAUACGCAUCCUUUGCUGAGGAUACGGUUAACGGAGCGAAAGCGACGUUCAACCGCAAAAGAAGCAGAGGGGGCUUAGUGGUGGGGUGACUGCGUACCUUUUGUAUAAUGGGUCAGCGACUUAUAUUCUGUAGCAAGGUUAACCGAAUAGGGGAGCCGGAGGGAAACCGAGUCUUAAUUGGGCGUUAAGUUGCAG
rnacentral:rRNA from 1 species